rfam:Plasmodium vivax chromosome 10, whole genome shotgun sequence.
AACCUGGUUGAUCUUGCCAGUAGUCAUAUGCUUGUCUCAAAGAUUAAGCCAUGCAAGUGAAAGUAUAUGCAUAUUUUAUAUGUAGAAACUGCGAACGGCUCAUUAAAACAGUUAUAAUCUACUUGACAUUUUUUCUAUAAGGAUAACUACGGAAAAGCUGUAGCUAAUACUUGCUUUAGCACUCUUGAUUCAUUUCUUGAGUGUGUACUUGUUAAGCCUUUUAAGAAAAAAGUUAUUAACUUAAGGAAUUAUAACAAAGAAGUGACACGUAAUGGAUCCGUCCAUUUUUAGUGUGUAUCAAUCGAGUUUCUGACCUAUCAGCUUUUGAUGUUAGGGUAUUGGCCUAACAUGGCUAUGACGGGUAACGGGGAAUUAGAGUUCGAUUCCGGAGAGGGAGCCUGAGAAAUAGCUACCACAUCUAAGGAAGGCAGCAGGCGCGUAAAUUACCCAAUUCUAAAGAAGAGAGGUAGUGACAAGAAAUAACAAUACAAGGCCAAUCUGGCUUUGUAAUUGGAAUGAUGGGAAUUUAAAACCUUCCCAAAACUCAAUUGGAGGGCAAGUCUGGUGCCAGCAGCCGCGGUAAUUCCAGCUCCAAUAGCGUAUAUUAAAAUUGUUGCAGUUAAAACGCUCGUAGUUGAAUUUCAAAGAAUCGAUAUUUUAAGCAACGCUUCUAGCUUAAUCCACAUAACUGAUACUUCGUAUCGACUUUGUGCGCAUUUUGCUAUUAUGUGUUCUUUUAAUUAAAAUGAUUCUUUUUAAGGACUUUCUUUGCUUCGGCUUGGAAGUCCUUGUUACUUUGAGUAAAUUAGAGUGUUCAAAGCAAACAGAUAUAGCAUUGCGCGUUUGAAUACUACAGCAUGGAAUAACAAAAUUGAACAAGUCAGAAUUUUGUUCUUUUUUCUUAUUUUGGCUUAGUUACGAUUAAUAGGAGUAGCUUGGGGGCAUUUGUAUUCAGAUGUCAGAGGUGAAAUUCUUAGAUUUUCUGGAGACAAACAACUGCGAAAGCAUUUGCCUAAAAUACUUCCAUUAAUCAAGAACGAAAGUUAAGGGAGUGAAGACGAUCAGAUACCGUCGUAAUCUUAACCAUAAACUAUGCCGACUAGGCUUUGGAUGAAAGAUUUUAAAAUAAGAAUUUUCUCUUCGGAGUUUAUUCUUAGAUUGCUUCCUUCAGUGCCUUAUGAGAAAUCAAAGUCUUUGGGUUCUGGGGCGAGUAUUCGCGCAAGCGAGAAAGUUAAAAGAAUUGACGGAAGGGCACCACCAGGCGUGGAGCUUGCGGCUUAAUUUGACUCAACACGGGAAAACUCACUAGUUUAAGACAAGAGUAGGAUUGACAGAUUAAUAGCUCUUUCUUGAUUUCUUGGAUGGUGAUGCAUGGCCGUUUUUAGUUCGUGAAUAUGAUUUGUCUGGUUAAUUCCGAUAACGAACGAGAUCUUAACCUGCUAAUUAGCGGCAAAUACGAUAUAUUCUUACGUGGGACUGAAUUCGGUUGAUUUGCUUACUUCGAAGAAAAUAUUGGGAUACGUAACAGUUUCCCUUUCCCUUUUCUACUUAGUUCGCUUUUCAUACUGUUUCUUUUUCGCGUAAGAAUGUAUUUGCUUGAUUGUAAAGCUUCUUAGAGGAACGAUGUGUGUCUAACACAAGGAAGUUUAAGGCAACAACAGGUCUGUGAUGUCCUUAGAUGAACUAGGCUGCACGCGUGCUACACUGAUAUGUAUAACGAGUUAUUAAAAUUACGAUUCAGCUUGCUGUUUCGUAUUUUUCCUCCACUGAAAAGUGUAGGUAAUCUUUAUCAGUACAUAUCGUGAUGGGGAUAGAUUAUUGCAAUUAUUAAUCUUGAACGAGGAAUGCCUAGUAAGCAUGAUUCAUCAGAUUGUGCUGACUACGUCCCUGCCCUUUGUACACACCGCCCGUCGCUCCUACCGAUUGAAAGAUAUGAUGAAUUGUUUGGACAAGAAGAAGGGGGAUUAUAUCUCCUUUUUUCUGGAAAAACCGUAAAUCCUAUCUUUUAAAGGAAGGAGAAGUCGUAACAAGGUUUCCGUAGGUGAACCUGCGGAAGGAUCAUUA